CAUGGAGAAGAUUCCGCAGUGAGCAGAUUGGUUGUCUUCCAAACUCCUAAAAGAAGCCACGUGGUGGGCUUAUUUUGGAAAACACAAAGCAGCAAAAACAGCAGGAAGAGUUACCCCGAGGCAGUUUGAUGCCGUCUCCGGAAGAAACGUGUAACCAUAUAGGAGAAGGCUGUUAAUGCAUCCCCUUAGCCUUCCGAUUCACUGAAUGCCUUGGAGAUGUUCAGCGGGAGGUAAAUGGAAGGCACUACUGCGUGGUGCAGACUAAGGUGCUGAAAGAGGCCAGCGAGCCAGGGUGCUGCAGCACCGCCCCGGUGUAGAAGCAGGAGGCGUCGGGCGGCGCCGGAGGGCGCCGGGCCGCUGCUGCCAGCGUCGGGACGGGGCCCGGACUCGGCCGCUGCUCCACCGCGAAGCGCGGCGCCAGGAAGCGGCCAUCUCUCCGGAGCAGCAGGUGCUGUAAUCGUACCUUUGCAAAGAUUUCUCCUCUCAUUAGAGGAAGGCUGACCACGCCAGGAUGUUUAAAAUGAGGUCGAGAGAAGUGCACUUCGCUCGCGAGCGUGACCCUCUCAUCUGCACCCGCACGCUUUUUAUUGCUACCUACUGAGCCCUGCUCGCCGCGCACCGGCUGCACCAGCCCUGCCCGCCCGUGCGUUCUCGGUUUCCGCCGGGAAGUUGGAAAGCAAGCCCAAAGUCUCGGGAGAACUUACCUGAAACGAUCCCAUUCGACAAGACCCCCAGCUGGUAAAGGAGGCAGCAGCAGCAGAUGGCCUAUCAAUAUCAACAGUGCUCUCAAGUGUUGCCACACCCUUGUGAUGAGCAGUGGGUAAUGUAUGUAAGUGACAAAUCACUGAAUUCUACCCUGAAAUACUACACUGGAUGUUAAGUAAGUAAAAUUUAAAUUAAAAAAAAAAAUGUAUGCAAAAUAUUUUUAAAAAAGACAUAUGAAAAGUCAAGAAUUAAUUAUUUAAUUAAAAAAACAAAGGGUUCCCACAGUUUCCCAUUGUUCUCUCUCUAAUCAACCAUAUAUAACUUAUGCAGGCCAUUUUUCUCUGCAAGUUCUCUUACUAUUGUACUGAGGCAUAUAUAUGUAUAUAAUAGAAUAAAGUAGAUAGUAAAGUUUUAUAAUUCAUCACUUUUUAUUAAAACCAAAGUGGGUAAACAUGCUACAUACAGGUCACAGAAGUGUGCAGGUGACACAUAUCUCUGUAACUUUUAGAAAUGAAUUCAGGACUUGGUGGCGAGAUGUCAAAUUUAAGACUGCUCUGUGGAAUUCAGAUGGUAGUAAUUCUUAAUAAAAUAAUAUUUACCUAAAGUUUAGGAAUACCUGUAAGAAUCAACUUUAUGUUAUUUUAUAUUUUUGUCUUUUAAACAAUCCUAUAAGCCACAUGGAAAUAUAUUUCUCGUUACAUAAGUUCUUGACCUCUCUCAUUAAUUUAAAUAGCAACAUGAAUGACAAAAAACCCCACAACAAACCACUUUCUAUUCUAAUUACACAAAAAUAAAUUUACUCAUAUUGAGUAUUAACUGUAUACAAGGUGCUGAGAGCACGCUUAUACGUAAUCUAUCACUUGAUGGCCAACACAAAUAUGUUUAUAUCUGACUUGUGAAUUGCAAAUUGGUAGGAUAAUAAAUAAAUACAGGUAACUUCCAGACAUAGCUGUGUUCUAAAAUCCUGAUUUUCCUGGUUCUUUUCUAGUUUUAUUUUUGUUCAAGUCAGUUACAUGCCACCUAGUGAUAUUAUAAAGAACUGCAACUUAUUAUUUAUUAUUAUGCAUUUUCCUACAGUGGAUACUGUUCUUCUAACAACUUUCUGUUUUUCUUUCUUCUUUUCCUCUUUACCCCACCCCCCUCCAGUUACAUGCUGACAGGCAGUUAAUUAUAUGGUAGCAUUGUAAUACCUAACCAUUGAUGUAUGCCUGCCCUAGGCUACUCUAACAUAAGUUUGUGCUACUAAUUAAUAGAUAAAAAUCUCAGCUUUGAUAGCCACAAAGAGAAAAGGAAGUGAGAAGGAAAAAAAAAAGAGAAAAUUUUAAGUAAAUACAUUGAAUGUCAAUUAGUUAGACAAAACACAAAAGAAAGUAACUUUUAAUGCAUUUUGAUCUUACUGUAUGAAUAAUACAUAAUUGUAUAUCUUGUGUUACUUUUCCCAUCCUUUCGAGAAAUCCUAUUUAAACAUUGUUAAGUUUAAAAUUUCUCUCAAAGGAAUAAAGAAACCUUAAUGUCUUUACUUAAUAUAAUUUAAGCCGCAGUGUUUCAGAAGUUAGCUGCCUUAUCUACAUCUUUUAUUUUCCAAUAUCAGAAAAAAGAACAUAUCUGAUUAUAGAUUGAAAGAAAAAAAUGCUAUAAUUGAAAUACCUGUGUAAUAAGGUUAUGGACUUGCUAUUAAUACCUGUGUAAUAAGGUUAUGGACUCGCUAUGCACAUUUUCUCAUAUGUUCCAUAUUGACUCUACUAAAAAAUAAGUUGAUUCUACCCUGAGCCAGUUCACUUACAUCAUGCAAAACAAAUAAGGACAAGAAAUACUAUUGUGUUCUCAAUGACUGAAUAAGACAGACUAUAGUAGUAACCUCAGGGUAUAGAAUCAUGAAGUGCUUUCUAAAAUGGAUGGCCUUCACGGCUUGUUAUAAAUAAAUGUAGCAUGAGAAGCUACUUGUGAUAAGUUAUUUGGGGAAGUGCCUUUGUCACCCAAAAUCUCUCUCCAUGUUAGCAAGACAUAGACAUUUUUUUUCAUUCUAAAAUUAAGUUUUGGGCUACACAGUUAGAAGGGAGUUUUACGUGUAAUUGAGCCCACAAAUAGCAGCUAAGGGAUGCACAAAAAGGAUGAGCGCCUCCCCAUCUGUAUCAGAGCCUUUCCUCAAGGCUCAUUUCAUAGCUGUCCUAGAGUCUGAGAUGACGUGGAAAGAAGCACACAUCAAGCAUGGGAAAGAGCACAAAGGGGGACGCCAGAAAAAUACUUUGCCUCCUUGACAACGUUUCCUCAAGUGAACUUCAUCCCUCUUGCAUAGUUCCGAGCUGAAGAUUAUGCCAAAGCUUCUGUCCUUUACUUUCUGGCUUGCCCUAGAUGAAGGGAGGGCUACAGGCAAAAGCCAGCCUCUGUCUGCAUGCAGAGUGACAAGAAGAGCUGGGGGUUGCUAACUUCCUGUGACAGCUUUCCUGGUGGGGCAGAUGUGAGGAGAAUGGCAACAGCAUGGGACCGCAUGCCAUCUUCCAUAUGCCUGCUCUCAGCCCCAGGUCAUGGCUUGAAGCUAAUAUGGCUGAAUCACGGACGGCACGGUCCUCAAAACAACACAUAUGCAGUGACCUUUACGGGUAGUAUUGUAUGUAUAGGAGACCAGGAAGAGAGAGGCCAAUUUAAGUUUGCUAGUAAUGGAAAAAAAGUAGGAACACCACGUUUAUUUCACCGUUUCUGUAAUUCCACAUAAAACCAGUUUCCCUACGAUUUUCUUUUCUACAAAUGGCUUUAUUUCUCUCUACUAGGAAAAGCAACAGUUCAGGCCAGCAAAAUAGGUAUUUUAUAUAUGCGUAUGACUCUAAAGGAUGUUCAGCCUCUAAGAGAUAAAGCAUUAUGUGCAUUAACAGACAUUUAUGCCAAUUUAAUUAAUAGGUAAAUAAACUCCUCAAUAUUUUUCAAGAAUAAAUUACAUUACAAGGAAAGGAAAUUACUUUAUAUAAAAUUUGGGGUGUUUCCUAAGUCAACCUAUUAUCUCUCUUGCACACACAUAAACACCAUGCACACAAACUUGCUUUCUCAUCUUCAAUUUUCUUCUAAAUAAUUGCAGACUUCACAGGCCUGCCCUUGAUGCCAAAAUGAACCCCUUUCAUUUGCUGAUUGAGAUCUGGCUCAACAGCCAAUGUUUCCUGCUGGGUCCUUACAGAGGGUGCAUUCAUAUUUUAUCCCUAAUUUAUUCAUUAUCAAACAUCAAACCUUUGGAAGAUAAAACAAAGACCUAGCGAACAAUGCCCUGAGAACUUACUGGUUUGUUUUCAUCUUCAUCCUCAGAUCAAAGAAUUCUUCAGUAGCUCUACCCACUCUAUCAAUGCAACAUCCAGGUAAUUGGGGGCAAAGCAGGGGAAAUGACAGUCUGGGCCAAAUCAACCUUUGGCAUCCACUGGUGCUCACAAUAAUCUCCAACAUCAAAAGUAUCUAAUGAGGACUCCAGAAUCCAUGGCAUUGUAUUACUUGACCCAAUCUUGUAAUUAAGUAUCAAAAAUCUCCACACUAUUCAUGGGCAUUUACAAAUUACACACUAAAAUCUCUACAUAUGCAAAACAAAAGACCUAGGUCAUACUUUCCUUCUAAGAGGAAAGCUUUAAUGACAGCUCUGGCCAAGCAUCAGAUUUUCAAUAUCCAAGACACCAGGUUCUGUGUUAGUUCUGGUGCUUCAAGAUGGCAUAAUAAUGGAUAAGUCACAUACUCUUAUUUUUAAAAUGGGAUAUUACCUUCCCCAAGGGUAUAUGAGAAGAUGGAUGAAAUCAGAAUGUGAAACUUGCUUGUAGAUGUACAUCAAUACAUACAGUGAUGGUAUUGCUUGCACAAACUAAGUGAUGCAUCAAAGACAACAAAAGCCUCCAUUAUGAUUGGGCUCAAGGAGAAGUGGUUGCAAACCUGUUAUGAUUUGACAUGCUAUGUCUGUACCAUAGUAGCUCUCAAAUAUGUAGAUUUUCUUGCCCUACUUAAAAUUCCAAAAUUAAAAAUUUAUUCUUUGGCUUAAGAUAUAUUAUGUCAAAGGUGUCCUAAUAACAUGAAGAAAACAUAAUCCAGUGAUAGUCUCUUGUGACUGUCACUAAGAAUCAGGAGACAGAAGUCACAGAAAGGCAAUGGUAUACCGAGUGAGAAAAGAGGUAAGUUCGCAACCACCAUGGACAGAAGCCGGAAUAAUCUUUAGAACCCUGGCUGGUUUGUGGUUUUCUGGGGGGUUUCACCAGCAUUGAUGCCAUUUUAGGUCAGUGUUGUUGCUCCAGUGUAAUCAGUGCAACCCUUAAAAGUCCUUUCUGUCAUAUUUUUGUCUUAUUUUAUAAUUUGCAGCCUGAAAGCAAAAGUUUUAUUGAAAUAAACGUUUUAUCGAAAAGUCUGCUCAACAAUGGACUGACAGUCAAUGGAUUAGAUGGAUUUCCCUUCUCACUCCCACACAAAGGCAAUAAAUGUCCCUGAGUGUUGGGACACCCUCUUUAAAAACUAACUCGAAAUGACUUUUGACUAUUCUGUCACCUUCUACUGGUCUUCAUACCUUCUUAAAGAACUUUGGCCCCUUAAUGUGGCCCCAAGGAGAAAAAGAUCAUCUCUUUUUGGCCACUUCCUGCUUAAUGAUUAAGUCAAAAGAAGUAGAGGGUUGUAUACUAAUAUAUAAAAUUCAGGAUUCUACUAGGGCCAUUUCUGAGCUUGAUGUUCCUUUCUUCACCUAAUGGCAACCUCAGGCCAGCCUGGUUGGUGUAGUCUCUAGAUGGCAGUCUGGCUAAAAGGUGAGCUAAGAAACUCAAUUGGAAUUCUGGGUUGUCUACCUAGAUUCUAGUAUUGGACUGAAAUUAUCCUAGAUCAUAAGGAUAAUGACCACUUGGCUGCAUAGACUGUUCACCAAGAUACUACAUAUGCCCAAGUGUGAUACAAUGAGUCUCUGUUUGAUAAAAAUGCCCGUUCCCCUCUUGUACUUGUCCCUUCUUGACACAAGGUCUGGGCAUAGAUAGGGGAAAUCUGGGUAAAAGAUGAAGUUAGAUGGCAGAGAGAGAACCACCUUGGCACCAGGGUCUGAGGAAUACCUCGGACGCCAAGAAUGAUAGGAACGGUAAGGAUAUGCUUUUAAAAAACUUAAGAUAAAAAGACCUGUGAUAAAAUCCUGGGCUUGGGAAAUCUUAAAAAUGGUGAUUAAAAAGUGAGUUGAAGGACACCUGGGUGGCUCAGUCAGUUGAAUGUCUGACUCUUGAUUUUGGCUCAGGUCAUAAUCUCACAGUCAUGGGAUUGAGCCCUGUGGAGUCCUGUGUCAGGCUCCACACUGG